rnacentral:rRNA from 1 species
GACGAACGCUGGCGGCGUGCCUAAUACAUGCAAGUAGAACGCUGAAGGAGGAGCUUGCUCUUCUGGAUGAGUUGCGAACGGGUGAGUAACGCGUAGGUAACCUGCCUGGUAGCGGGGGAUAACUAUUGGAAACGAUAGCUAAUACCGCAUAACAGUAGAUGUUGCAUGACAUUUACUUAAAAGGUGCAAUUGCAUCACUACCAGAUGGACCUGCGUUGUAUUAGCUAGUUGGUGGGGUAACGGCUCACCAAGGCGACGAUACAUAGCCGACCUGAGAGGGUGAUCGGCCACACUGGGACUGAGACACGGCCCAGACUCCUACGGGAGGCAGCAGUAGGGAAUCUUCGGCAAUGGACGGAAGUCUGACCGAGCAACGCCGCGUGAGUGAAGAAGGGUUUCGGAUCGUAAAGCUCUGUUGUAAGAGAAGAACGAGUGUGAGAGUGGAAAGUUCACACUGUGACGGUAUCUUACCAGAAAGAGACGGCUAACUACGUG